CCCCAUGAGAGACUCCACUGUGCCUCCCUCGUCGCCUGCCUCCAAGUUCAUGCGCGCGGGCACGCGUCCGCGGCACCGGACAUGCGUCCGCGGUGACGCCAGCUCGGCCUCCUCGCCCCGCGGCUAUAUAAGCCCGUCCCGGGUGUGUUUCUCCUCACCCGCGACUGUUUCUCCUCACCCGCGACCUCUACCCACUCCCCCACGACUCCCCGACCACUUCCCCGAGCUCGAGUCGCCCUCCACGACCACCAUUGCCGCCAUGGCCGCUUCGGGUCUCCUCCUCGAUUGGCUCGAGCUGAGCCCUUCCUCUCCUCAUAUCCACCACCACUAGAAGCCCCUCACUCCGGCGACCCUCCCCGCCCCCUCUGCUUCUCGCCGGAGUGCCUCAGGCCGCCGCUACCUCGUUCGGUCUCCGCCUCGCCGUCCCUCUGGUGUCACGGGUUGCAGCCACCCUAGCUCUCCCCGGCGCCCGCUUCCUCUCUGAAUGGAGGCGGCGUGGACUCCCGAGCCCUCUGGUGGCGUCGCCCUCGCCGGAGACGGCCAGAGCCGGCCGGCCCGUCGCCGGUGACGCGCCCUCCCCUGCCUCCUCUGUCCCGUGCGGGAGCAGGACGAGGAAGAAGAAGACAGGGGCCAGGCGGGCCCUCUUCUCAUCGCGGGCCCCGCGUGGCAGCCUCAGCCCCGUUGACCCAGCGUGGAAUGCGUUUUCCAGAGGAGAAGGCGUAUUUCUGCCUAGUGCACAUUCUGUUUUUCCGGCUGAGGGCCUGUUUGUGAUGAUUUUAUUACAAAUGGGUCCCUGGCAGAAAAACUAUCAUAUCUUUUCACUCCCAACUCCAAAUGAGCCCCCUUCGAGAGAGUACGUUUACCGGUGAUUCUUUCCGCGAGCCUCUCACACUUCUUCUCGGAGAUUUCUGCCACCCCAGGCAAGCCACACCCUCCAUUUGCAUGAUUGCAAUGCAGUGACAUGGUUUAUUCAUUUGAACUUGCUUAAAAUAUUGCAUUAGCUAUGUAUGACUUGUUCAUGCCAUUUCCCGGAGUAUUGUUUUGAUCUUGAUAUUGCCACGAUGUUGCUUGGAGUUCUAGGAUUAAUAUUUUGAUGAUUAUGUGGAUGACAUGUGCCUUUGGAUUCUUAGUGGUUAUUAUGAUUAUUUUUCAUGAUGGUAUCUGUUAUUAUAUUUUGGAGUAUUACUUUGGAUAUCAUGCUGCCUUUGGAUUAUU